GAUGAACGCUGGCGGCGUGCCUAAUACAUGCAAGUCGAGCGAACAGAUGAGAAACUUGCUUCUCUGAUGUUAGCGGCGGACAGGUGAGUAACACGUGGGUAACCUACCUAUAAGACUGGGAUAACUCCGGGAAACCGGGGCUAAUACCGGAUAAUAUUUUGAACCGCAUGGUUCAAUAGUGAAAGACGGUUUCGGCUGUCACUUAUAGAUGGACCCGCGCCGUAUUAGCUAGUUGGUAAGGUGACGGCUUACCAAGGCGACGAUACGUAGCCGACCUGAGAGGGUGAUCGGCCACACUGGAACUGAGACACGGUCCAGACUCCUACGGGAGGCAGCAGUAGGGAAUCUUCCGCAAUGGGCGAAAGCCUGACGGAGCAACGCCGCGUGAGUGAUGAAGGUCUUCGGAUCGUAAAACUCUGUUGUUAGGGAAGAACAAAUUUGUUAGUAACUGAACAAGUCUUGACGGUACCUAACCAGAAAGCCACGGCUAACUACGUGCCAGCAGCCGCCGUAA
rnacentral:rRNA from 1 species